AAAAGAGGAAGAAGCUCAGUCGUGGGUCGUUCCUCGAUUAUAGAAUCAUGGCUUCUCAAAGAUAUUUACUAUUGGCAGUGAUCCUAAUCACAACUUGUUUAGUUGGACAGAUCAGACAAGCCGCGCAAGUUUCUUCAAUUUCUAUAGCCCGUGUUUCUGUGACUACAUAAUCAUCUAUAACCAUAUUUUUGGAGUAUUUGCAGUUGAUACAUAAUUUUAUCAGGUUGUUCCAUGUUGUAUAGACGUGGCCGAUUAGGACUUGUCAAGUUCUAACUUGGCCUGACCGUCACUCUCUAACCCUAAUGUCCCAUAUAUUUUCGAUGGGAUUUAAAUGCGGGGACUUAGCAAGCUAAUCUACUUUAAUAAUAUCUGGACGAUUGGCAAACCAGUCCCGUGUUAUGUGCGCUGUGUGAACGGAGCUAUUGUCUUACAUGAAGAAUGUCAACGUAUUCCACUGUUCUCAUAUGAGCUGAAGUUUCAUGGAUUUUCAUGACGCCUGCUGCACUCAUUCAUCCCCAGAAACUACAAGAUAUUCGUCCGCAGUGAUGAUCUACAACUACAUAACGCAAAUCUAAUCUUGUAACGUGGCGCCUCCCCAUCGCGCCGCCACUUCACUUCCCGCCGUACAUCCAACGUAAGCCGAGCACGUGCGUGCGCCCGGCUAACCUCAUCGCGAUCACGCGCCACGACGGCGCGUUACGCGCCGUGUUUGGCAAACGUUCCCACUCUGCCCGGCCCGGCCGCGUGCGCUGGUUAGUGCUAGAGGUAGAAGUAGAGAGUCUGGACAUCUGUUCCUAAA
rnacentral:lncRNA from 13 species